ensembl:ncRNA F25H8.17 ncRNA
AAAAAAUCGUUUAGGCGAGACAAAAUGACACUCAAGAGGAAGGUGUAGAUGAGUCUCGGCACGCGCCGAUUUUUGCAAACAAAGAAGUCGAUAAAGAUCUUAUUUUUUUGAAAUGGGUGGUCGUGGGUGCACUUUUAGAU